rnacentral:tRNA from 1 species
AUUACUUUGGCAGAUUAAUGUAAUAAAUUUAGAAUUUAUUUAAGUAAAAUAUUUACAGGUAAUA